rnacentral:rRNA from 1 species
CCUACGGGAGGCAGCAGUGGGGGAUAUUGCACAAUGGGGGGAACCCUGAUGCAGCGACGCCGCGUGGGUGAAGAAGCGCCUCGGCGCGUAAAGCCCUGUCAGCAGGGAAGAAAAUGACGGUACCUGAAGAAGAAGCCCCGGCUAACUACGUGCCAGCAGCCGCGGUAAUACGUAGGGGGCAAGCGUUAUCCGGAUUUACUGGGUGUAAAGGGGGCGCAGACGGCGAUGCAAGCCAGGAGUGAAAGCCCGGGGCCCAACCCCGGGACUGCUCUUGGAACUGCGUGGCUGGAGUGCAGGAGGGGCAGGCGGAAUUCCUGGUGUAGCGGGGAAAUGCGUAGAUAUCAGGAGGAACACCGGCGGCGAAGGCGGCCUGCUGGACCGCGACUGACGUUGAGGCUCGAAAGCGUGGGGAGCGAACAGGAUUAGAUACCCCAGUAGUC